rnacentral:rRNA from 1 species
GAUAAACGCUGGCGGCGUGCUUUAUGCAUGCAAGUCGAACGGUCUCGAUUUAUCGAGAUAGUGGCGAACGGGUGAGUAACGCGUAAGCAACCUACCCCUAAGUAGGGGAUAACUCUGAGAAAUUGGAGCUAAUACCUUAUGUGGUGGUGGAGGUAAGGCUCCAUCACUAAAGCCUUAGGGUGCUUGGGGAGGGGCUUGCGUCCGAUUAGCUAGUUGGUAGGGUAACGGCUUACCAAGGCGAUGAUCGGUAGCUGGUUUGAGAGGACGGCCAGCCACAUUGGGACUUAGACACGGCCCAGACUCCUAUGGGAGGCAGCAGCAAGGAAUAUUGUGCAAUGGGCGAAAGCCUGACACAGCGACGCCGCGUGGGGGAUGAAGGCCUUCGGGUUGUAAACCCCUUUUCUCAGGGAAGAAUAAUGACGGUACCUGAGGAAUAAGUCUUGGCUAACUACGUGCCAGCAGCCGCGGUAAUACGUAGGAGGCGAGCGUUAUCCGGAUUUACUGGGCGUAAAGAGGGCGUAGGCGGUUCUUCAAGUCGGAUGUGAAAUCUCCCGGCUUAACUGGGAGGGGUCAUUCGAUACUGUUGGACUAGAGGGCAGCAGAGGGAGGCGGAAUUCCCGGUGUAGUGGUGAAAUGCGUAGAUAUCGGGAGGAACACCAGUGGCGAAGGCGGCCUUCUGGGCUGUUUCUGACGCUGAGGCCCAAAAGCGUGGGGAGCGAACAGGAUUAGAUACCCUGGUAGUCCACGCCGUAAACUAUGGACACUAGGUAUAGGGAGUAUCGACCCUUUCUGUGUCGAAGCUAACGCUUUAAGUGUCCCGCCUGGGGACUACGGCCGCAAGGCUAAAACUCAAAGGAAUUGACGGGGGCCCGCACAAGCAGCGGAGCGUGUGGUUUAAUUCGACGCAACGCGAAGAACCUUACCGGGGCU